GACAUCCAGGGAAUUUAGGCAGAGAUGCUUUAGUGCCUUCGGGAACUCUGAGACAGGUGCUGCAUGGCUGUCGUCAGCUCGUGUUGUGAAAUGUUGGGUUAAGUCCCGNAACGAGCGCAACCCUUAUCCUUUGUUGCCAGCACGUAAUGGUGGGAACUCAAAGGAGACUGCCGGUGAUAAACCGGAGGAAGGUGGGGAUGACGUCAAGUCAUCAUGGCCCUUACGAGUAGGGCUACACACGUGCUACAAUGGCGCAUACAAAGAGAAGCGACCUCGCGAGAGCAAGCGGACCUCAUAAAGUGCGUCGUGGUCCGGAUUGGAGUCUGCAACUCGACUCCAUGAAGUCGGAAUCGCUAGUAAUCGUAAAUCAGAAUGUUACGGUGAAUACGUUCCCGGGCCUUGUACACACCGCCCGUCACACCAUGGGAGUGGGUUGCAAAAGAAGUAGAUAGCUUAACCUUCGGGAGGGCGUUUACCACUUUGUGAUUCAUGACUGGGGUGAAGUCGUAACAAGGUAAGCGUAGUGCU
rnacentral:rRNA from 1 species